GACUGUUGAAUACAGACACAGUGUCCCAGGCCAAAGCAAACUGUCACCCCGAACCAUUGCCUGGCUUUACCCCGUGGGCUUCAGCCACUGAAGCAGUUUGCACAGUG
rnacentral:snoRNA from 1 species